GAAGCAGCCAUCAUUUAAAGAAAGCGUAAUAGCUCACUGGUCGAGUCGGCCUGCGCGGAAGAUGUAACGGGGCUAAACCAUGCACCGAAGCUGCGGCAGCGACACUCAGGUGUUGUUGGGUAGGGGAGCGUUCUGUAAGCCUGCGAAGGUGGCCUGUGAGGGUUGCUGGAGGUAUCAGAAGUGCGAAUGCUGACAUAAGUAACGAUAAAGCGGGUGAAAAGCCCGCUCGCCGGAAGACCAAGGGUUCCUGUCCAACGUUAAUCGGGGCAGGGUGAGUCGACCCCUAAGGCGAGGCCGAAAGGCGUAGUCGAUGGGAAACGGGUUAAUAUUCCCGUACUUGGUGUUACUGCGAAGGGGGGACGGAGAAGGCUAUGUUGGCCGGGCGACGGUUGUCCCGGUUUAAGCGUGUAGGUGUGUGUUCCAGGUAAAUCCGGUUCACUUUAACACUGAGGCGUGAUGACGAGGCACUACGGUGCUGAAGCAACAAAUGCCCUGCUUCCAGGAAAAGCCUCUAAGCAUCAGGUAACAUCAAAUCGUACCCCAAACCGACACAGGUGGUCAGGUAGAGAAUACCAAGGCGCUUGAGAGAACUCGGGUGAAGGAACUAGGCAAAAUGGUGCCGUAACUUCGGGAGAAGGCACGCUGACACGUAGGUGAAGUGAUUUACUCAUGGAGCUGAAGUCAGUCGAAGAUACCAGCUGGCUGCAACUGUUUAUUAAAAACACAGCACUGUGCAAACACGAAAGUGGACGUAUACGGUGUGACGCCUGCCCGGUGCCGGAAGGUUAAUUGAUGGGGUCAGCGCAAGCGAAGCUCCUGAUCGAAGCCCCGGUAAACGGCGGCCGUAACUAUAACGGUCCUAAGGUAGCGAAAUUCCUUGUCGGGUAAGUUCCGACCUGCACGAAUGGCGUAAUGAUGGCCAGGCUGUCUCCACCCGAGACUCAGUGAAAUUGAACUCGCUGUGAAGAUGCAGUGUACCCGCGGCAAGACGGAAAGACCCCGUGAACCUUUACUAUAGCUUGACACUGAACAUUGAGCCUUGAUGUGUAGGAUAGGUGGGAGGCUUUGAAGUGUGGACGCCAGUCUGCAUGGAGCCGGCCUUGAAAUACCACCCUUUAAUGUUUGAUGUUCUAACGUGGACCCGUGAUCCGGGUUGCGGACAGUGUCUGGUGGGUAGUUUGACUGGGGCGGUCUCCUCCUAAAGAGUAACGGAGGAGCACGAAGGUUGGCUAAUCCUGGUCGGACAUCAGGAGGUUAGUGCAAUGGCAUAAGCCAGCUUGACUGCGAGCGUGACGGCGCGAGCAGGUGCGAAAGCAGGUCAUAGUGAUCCGGUGGUUCUGAAUGGAAGGGCCAUCGCUCAACGGAUAAAAGGUACUCCGGGGAUAACAGGCUGAUACCGCCCAAGAGUUCAUAUCGACGGCGGUGUUUGGCACCUCGAUGUCGGCUCAUCACAUCCUGGGGCUGAAGUAGGUCCCAAGGGUAUGGCUGUUCGCCAUUUAAAGUGGUACGCGAGCUGGGUUUAGAACGUCGUGAGACAGUUCGGUCCCUAUCUGCCGUGGGCGCUGGAGAACUGAGGGGGGCUGCUCCUAGUACGAGAGGACCGGAGUGGACGCAUCACUGGUGUUCGGGUUGUCAUGCCAAUGGCACUGCCCGGUAGCUAAAUGCGGAAGAGAUAAGUGCUGAAAGCAUCUAAGCACGAAACUUGCCCCGAGAUGAGUUCUCCCUGAGACUUUAGGUCUCCUGAAGGAACGUUGAAGACGACGACGUUGAUAGGCCGGGUGUGUAAGCGCAGCGAUGCGUUGAGCUAACCGGUACUAAUGAACCGUGAGGCUUAACCUU
rnacentral:rRNA from 1 species